rnacentral:rRNA from 1 species
AACGAACGCUGGCGGCAUGCCUAACACAUGCAAGUCGAACGAGACCUUCGGGUCUAGUGGCGCACGGGUGCGUAACGCGUGGGAACCUGCCCUUAGGUUCGGAAUAACUCCCCGAAAGGGGUGCUGAUACCGGAUAAUGUCUUCGGACCAAAGAUUUAUCGCCUUUGGAUGGGCCCGCGUUGGAUUAGCUAGUUGGUAGGGUAAAAGCCUACCAAGGCGACGAUCCAUAGCUGGUCUGAGAGGAUGAUCAGCCACACUGGGGCUGAGACACGGCCCAGACUCCUACGGGAGGCAGCAGUGGGGAAUAUUGGACAAUGGGCGAAAGCCUGAUCCAGCAAUGCCGCGUGAGUGAUGAAGGCCUUAGGGUUGUAAAGCUCUUUUACCCGGGAUGAUAAUGACAGUACCGGGAGAAUAAGCUCCGGCUAACUCCGUG